UUCUUUCUCUCCAGCGAUUGUCUCUGUUUUAAUUUGUUAAUUUGUUUUCAGAGAUUAUCCUGAUGCUUGUUCUCCUCUCCUGCGGCUAGGCAUCCAACUCUCCCCUCUCUUAGCCAGCCCCUAUUCUUCUAGCAGUUACUGCCUCUCCCCACAGCUCCCUGCCCCAUAUCCUCUCUCAGUGUAUGCCCAUUCUGCUUUCCUGGCCAUCUUUUUUGUCAAGUUCUCCUCUAGAAGGUGCAGUGUGACUCUCCCCCACUGAUAAUGCUGAUCUUUGGAGAUCUACAGGUUUUCUUCACCUUUACUUAAGAGCAGUAGGAAACUCAGUACAACCUUCUUUCUCUUUAGUACCAUAUAGAGGCAGCUUCAGACAGAUUUUCAUCUUUAGACAAUUUUUGCUGAACUGAGAUGAAAUGAGGUCCAUUUUAACAACCAAAUACACCAAAAGUACUGCACUGUAGAAACUUGAAGAUGAAAGCACAUGGAGGUCGUUGUGGAAUAUUCCUCUCAUUUGGAUGUAGCAGUCUUCAGCCUCCUAAGAACAAUUUGGAGUUGACUUUUCUACAUAUUUAUUCCUUACAAGGAGUAGAACCAAGAAGCUGAAAAUACUGCUGUAGAAGUAUAACACACCAUA